rnacentral:lncRNA from 1 species
GGCCGAAUAUCCAUGGAUAUUGAUAAAAAUUAAAACUAAAAAUCACGACAUUUGUAAAAACAAGUGCAGGCGUCUACGUUAGUGCACACCGCCACAGUGCCUUUGAUGGGGUGUUUCUUUAGGCAAGUACUCAAGCAAACCGGAGUUUGACAUUUAUCCAUCCACAUCGUGUCAUCGCAAUAAUAAUUAAUCCCGCCGUUCGCUGUCGAUUCCGCUGCAAAUAAAUAAAUUCAGAAUUUCGCAAAAGUUAAUUUUAUAAAUUAUAUGACAUUUAAUCUUUGAACAGAACGAGAAGUUAGAAGGGUCACCUGAACACAGAAGGGCCACCAGGCAGAAACAGAAGAAUUGUAGCUUUGCCAUUGUUCUAGUAACGUACCCGUUUGAGCUUACAAG